UCCACAAACCAAUAUGAGAAAGUAUGAUCAAUAAAUGAGAUGGAAAUAGAUUCGGAUUGCAUUGAUGGCCGGCUCCUCGGCCCGCACACUCAUGUGCUGCUCUGUGAUUUCUCUAAUUUUGAUGAACACGUUACAUAAUAAAAGAGACUCUGCGGAUAUAAUUAAAAAUGAAUUAUAAUGAGGACGUGACCCUGGGUUAUCUGGGUGGAAUCCGUCUGGUUGUUCAGUUGGCUAAAUACAGAGCCCUCUCUCUGGCUGGAGUCAGAGGAGAGACAUGCUGACACUCGACCCCACUGGUCUGUUGCUGCAGGGGCCAAGUGGAAAGUAGAAGCAGGCGGUGGAGUGUGAGCAGAUCUUGGCAGCAAAGAGCAGAGGUUGGGAUGGUGCAGAAGGAGGGGUGCGUGCUGCAAACACGGGGCACAGAACCGCACCGACAACUUAAAUGAUCUUGAAGGCUUCUUCCUCAUGGUUCCGAUCUCUCACUAUUGCCUCUGCCUGGUGGGCUCUAACCCAGCAUGGAAGAGAAGCACAAAGAACAUGAAGUGACCCCAGAUGCCUCGCUUCCCCUUUGUCGUAUGCGUGCGUCUGCCAUCAGCUAUGCAGGGAUAAAGAGGAGGGAAAGGCACCACCUGCUGCAGCACUCAUUUGAUCACUCAAGAGUCAUACACCUGCAAAAUGACAUAGUAAGUUUGAUGUCCGUAUCCUCACUGUGUCUGGUGUAUCUGGAUAUUCCUCCCUUGUGUCUUCUCAGACGGUGUUCUCUAUCUGUAAGUAAUAAAUAGUCAGUGAAUGUUAGAGGCUAUGUGUCCAAUUCUGUUGGGAGCGAUGCCCUUAAAACCCUCCAUUGUUGAUGUUAAUAGUAUAGUUAGAGUUAAGUAUGACGGGGUUCAUGGAAAAUCCCCAGCCAGCUGCAGAAGACUAGUACAAAUCUAGUGGUUAGGAUGAAUAAUGAUAUGAUAAAAUUGUGACCUUGCUGAGAAAUACAUCUGACGUCAAGAUACCCAAUGUGAUGACCUGUAACCUUUCUGAGAAACCAACAUCCUGCUGACUAAUGAUAUUACAAACCUGUAACCUUUCUGAAAAACCAACAUCCUGUUGACAUCGGCUGACCACACAAGUACUGUGUCCUUGGCCUGCGUAAAUGUUUCCCACUUUCCCCCUCUCUCUGUUACCCCUGUUAUGGUAUAAAUUCAGCCUUGGGAAAAAAUAAAAUUGCUGCCUUGAUCAGA